rnacentral:misc_RNA from 1 species
AAAAUGUUGAGCGUGGAGGGAAAGGGAUGAAAAAUUCUGUAUCUAUUUAGUUGUUUACAAACAUAAGGAAAUGAGUGUUGGAAGUAGAGAAAGAAAAUGACAACAAGGAAAGUGAGGAAGGACAGAAUGACUUCAGUGUAGAUGUUGAUGAAGAGUUACAGACAGAACUGUGUAAACUAUGGGACAUGUCCAUGAACUCGGAAGUGGUGCAGUUCCUCAAUGAGUUUAAAGCUGUUGAGAUCUUUGUUGGUAUAAUUGGAAAAUCCCAAGCUCCGCGAGUGACAGAAAUAUGCAUAGGAAUUCUAGGAAAUAUGGCAUGUGACAGUGAAGUUUGUGUGACAAUGUCAGAAAAUGAGAAAGUCAGAAAAAUGGUGUUGCUGUUACUAGAUAAUUCGGACCCCCAAACAUUGAAUGAAACGACAAGGUUUCUGUACACAAGUCUCUCCAAUCCAGCUGCCAGAGAAGAGUGGAUACGAGCCAUCAAUGAGGCAGAAAACAUCCAGGAGCACAUCAACUUUAUUUUCCAGAGUUCCACAAACUCUGAUUUGUUACGCAACACUGCUGAGUUCUUGGAUGUGCUUCUUGAUGUAGAUGAGGAGCUCUGUCAGAAAUGGGCCACGCCCCUUCUGAUCCAGUCCAUGCUAGAGGCCUUUAAGCAAAUUGGAUGUAAACACAGCACGGCCCUAGAAACUUACCUCCAUAUCUUCCAACUAAUGUCAACCACAGAAACGGGAGUGGAAUCUUUGGUUGAGUGUGCAGACAGCCUGUGCCCCCCUCUGAUGAAGUACCUUGGAAUCCUGUGUGAGGACGAAAUUGUGGGUCUGGAGGGGCGAGAGGCUGCCCUCGCCUCGGCCCUCUCUGUCCUCAAUGUCAUCUUCACCUCCCAUGACGACACAGCCACCAUGCUCCUCAAAGAUGAAAGGCUAUUGAGGAUUUUUCUAAAGAUCCUUGAGCCACUCAUGCCGUACAUUCAAAAAAUCAAUGAUGAAAGUUUAAGUGAAACGAAACCUGACACAGCGACUUCUGCUGGUGAGUGUGCAAAAGGAGAUAAUAUUGAGAGCAACCAGGAACCAACAAUUUCCACGAAGGAUGAAACCAAAGAGGAAGAUUUGGAUGGGGAGACAGAUGAAUCAGAUGAGGAUGAAAUGUCUGAAAAAAGUAAACAACUUAUGAUGAUGCUAUACCAAGUUCUCCAAGGAUUUACUUUUGAUUUCUUGUUUUCAAUUCAUAUGGCAAUGACCGAGGAAGACGAGGAAGAGAAAGAGAAGACAUCAACAGAAUGCAGCAAUCAACACAAAAAUCUCUUCACUUACAUGAAUGAAUCAGUUAGCAGGGUACGCUUAAAUUACUUCAUAGCCACGCUUAAGGAUGCAGCCAAUGAUACGUUUAACCCUGUUGAUACCAUGAAGACUGCAGCAACUAAAUUUCAGCUUGAUAGAUUGGAGAGGAUUAUUAAGUCUGUGGAGGAAGGACGCUAUGUACACAGAGAAAAUUCUAACGACAAUGGAACUUAAAGUUUGUGAUGAGGAACCAUUCAUGUACAUUUUCUCAUUAAGAAUUCAUCCAAUUUAUCAAAUAUCAAUAAAAGCAGCUGUAACAUAUAAUGUAGUUAAUAUAAUAUUGUAUAAUUUCUUGCGUAUGGAUUUAGUUCAAUUAUACACUACUGUUAAAAUUAGGAAAUUCAUUUUAUUUGUUAGUCACAAAUGGCCAAUAAUUUUCCUGUCAAUAUCCUUUUAACGCUAUGUAGUUCACUGAGACGAAGUCAGAGGGAUCGAGCUGAUGCUAUAAUCCCGGUGUUGGUGUCGGCAUCCAGGUUAAAGUUUUUGGAGCAGGUCUUGUAUUUAAGUUAUUACUUGUCCUAUCUUCACCAAACUUGCAUGGAUGAUGCAUAUUGACCUACUAAUGGACUUGAAAGACUUGGAUGCUGAAUCUGGGCCAUGAAUUUCAGAUGCUGGAGGAGGUUAAGGUUUUGUAGUAGGUUAAAAAUUUUGAUAGCCACAACUUGAAUGAUUGGUGUGUCAUAUGAUCCUUAUAUAAGCACUUGACAGGCUUUGAUGCUAGAUCUGCACCAUUGAUUUUGGAUGCAGGAAGAAGUUAACAUUUUUGGAGCUGGUUAAAGUUUUUGGAUCAGUGACCUUUGAUUAGACAAUUCUUAGUUAUUUUUGGUUCUAUCUUUACUAAAUUUGGAUAGAUAAUGCAUCUUGUGAUGGUGAUGUUUUUCCCUGGCUUGUAUGCUGAAACUGAGCCAUAGGUUUCAGAUGCUGAAAGGUUUUGGAACAGGUCACAUGUUUAUUUAUUAAAUAAUAGUACAUGUAUACUUUCUUAUUCAAACUUGCAUGGUUAAUUUAACUAUGUAAAUGAAUCACAGAUCUAGAGGUAGCUCCAGAUGCAAAGUGACCUUGAUUAUCUAGACGCUUAGGCAGGUUGAAGAUUUUAGAACAACUCAAAUUGUGUUGGGGUCUUAGAGCUGGUUACGAAAUGAAGGAAACUCUAUUCAUACCCUGUCAGAACUUAAACAGUUAAUAUAACUAUGGAUGUGUAAAUGGAGGUAGCUUCAGAGACAGACUUGAUCUCGAUUAUCUUGAUGCAUUUAUAUCAUGUGGCAGCUUUUCUCUAUAUUUCAUAUGAAUUAUCCAUGGGGAAUAACAAAAUGAUAAAAAGAUUCUUUUUUUCUUUUAUUUGCAAGUGAGUUACAAAAAAAUUAAAUUCAUAAUCAUCAUAUAUCUGCAUAUAAACCAGUUCAGGCCACACAAUUAUAAUACAGACUGAGAAACAUAAUCAUUAAAAAUUAAGCAUUAAUUAUGCUCAUCAGAGAACAUUGGACUGGAACUGUUUUGGAAACAGUUGUAUGUUUAUGGCAUAUUAUGCUAUACUGACUAUAUAACAAAAAAAAAUGGCAACAUAUUAGUGAGAAGUAUAAAAAGACUGAAAACUGGAGUGAAAAUGAAUGACAACUAAUUAUUAACUAUAAUUUUGUAAACACAUUAAAAUGAAGCUGAUACAUAAAUAAAUAAAUCAAUAUUUU